AACAAAGGAGCAAAAGAAAGAUACCAGAAAAAUCAAAGAAUCGCCCAAGAGUAACGGUCUCUCUUGAGCGCUUCGUUUUGGUUUCGCCUCUUUGCGUUGCUCCAUCCGAGGCUGAGAGCUUGAACUACUUUCUAAAGGAUGGGCCUACUGUCUUUAUGGCGCGCUGGGACGAGGCUUGCUCUGGUUACCUCCACCAUUAGCGGUGGUGCCGCCGCUGCCGCCAUAGCCACCUCCGAUGAUCCUGAAACGACUCUCAAGCUUUGCACCACCGUGCCCCAUCGCCUCAUCCGCGACGCCAUCACCGCUGCCAAUAUUGCUUUCGAUUAUGAAUAUUCUCUUUGGGGACUGCCGGAAGGAAGUAAUGAGCGGUCAACAGUCACGCACGAAGUUCACCUCCGCUCUGCUCGUAAACUUCAAGAGCUGUGUUUUAAGAACGGAGGGGUUUAUAUAAAGCUUGGCCAACAUCUUGGGCAGUUGGAAUAUUUAAUUCCUCAAGAAUAUGUCCAGACAAUGAGGGAGUCCAUGUUGAACAAAUGUCCAGUUUCUUCAUAUGAUCAAGUAUGCCAGGUCUUUAAGAAAGAACUUGGAGAAACACCUGACACAGUAUUUUCUGAAUUUGAUCCAGUUCCAAUAGCAAGUGCUUCCCUUGCCCAAGUUCAUGUAGCCCGCACCCAUGAUGGCCAAAAAGUUGCUGUGAAGGUUCAACAUACUCACAUGACUGAUACUGCGGCUGCAGAUCGUGCCACUGUGGAAUUUGUUGUGAACACUUUGCAUAGGGUUUUCCCCAGUUUUGAUUAUAGGUGGUUGGUUGAUGAGAUACAGGAAAGUUUACCUAAGGAAUUAGACUUUCUGAUUGAGGCAAAGAAUAGUGAGAAAUGUUUGGAGAACUUCCGGAAGUUUUCUCCUCAUAUUGCGAACUAUAUAUAUGCACCAAAAGUGUAUUGGAAUCUAAGCACCUCAAAGUUACUAACAAUGGAAUUCAUGGAUGGUGCCCAAAUAAGUGAUGUGAAGACCAUCAGAAGGCUUGGGAUCCAUCCGCAUGAAGUUUCAAUAUUGAUUCGAGGAUCUGGUUCUGCUGUGGGGAUUUGUCAUAGAUCUAUGGGCUACUUGUCUCAAGAAUGACUGAUAUUUGGAAUCCUACUUACCCAUUGUCAGCUAUGCUUCAACUUUGGAGUGUAUACCACAGUAGUAGACCAUGGAUGGUUAUACAAUGAAAUGAUGGAUAGGUCACUCAAACUUUUGCUGAAAUGAUGUUUAAGCAUGGAUUUGUGCAUUGUGAUCCUCAUGCUGC